rnacentral:misc_RNA from 1 species
ACUCAAAGGCAUCAUCAGACAUGGCCCCAAAUUCGAACUGACAUUUUGACAAAGCCUAUUGAUCUGCUGAUGCUCAACAGACUACGGGAGUCCUAUUGUGAGAUCAAGGAGGGAGAGGUUGAUGCUUUAGCUGUAGUUCACUCUUAUGAGGAGGGUGUACCAGCUGGAUCCCAUAAGACUAGGCUAACUGCUCUUAAUGUACCACCUAUGGGUCUGUUCUACCCAAUGCUGUUGGUUCCAGAAGUAUAUUCUCCACCACCCCGAUCUUGGUUCCAUGAUUAUGAGGAUAUGUUGGAAGAUACAUGGCAUAUAGAAUAUCCUAGAAGACCUGAUAUGCCUGAUGGUCUAUUUCCUGGCAUUAAUGUUGGAUUAUCCAUGUGGGAUAGCUAUCCAGUUUUCCCUUCUAGGCCUAACAAAGAAGAAAAGGUUGGUCUUGCAGAGGCUAUCACCAGCAGCAUUCUUUCAACAGGUCGUAUAGACCUCAAGAGAAAAUUAUUUUGUAGCAUACAAUUGAUUGGUGGAGUGGCUUUGACACCUGGUCUUACUCCUGUGGUGGAGGAGAGAGUUUUACAUGCAAUCCCUUCAAAUGAAGCAAUUGAUACAGUUGAGGUUCUGCAGUCAAGAACAAAUCCAACCUUCGUGUCCUGGAAAGGCGGAGCUAUUCUUGGAAUUCUUGAUUUUGGUCGGGAUGCUUGGAUACACAGGGAGGAUUGGAUUCGCAAUGGGAUUCACGUAGGGAGUGGGAGAAAAUAUAAGGACUCUUACUAUCUUCAAGCACAAGCGAUGUGUUAUAUAAAUUCCUAAAGGAGACUGGAAGUAAUGCGGC